AGAAACCAUGAGGGGGAAAAAAGGAAACUCAAGAGCUGAAAAAUACAAAAUUCAAUGUGAUCAAUUCACUGGACGGGCGUACAAGUAGAUCCCGAAGGGGGAAACCCCGGCAAACCUGAAGGCAGAGAAACAGCAACUGUCUAACACCGGGAGCUGCAUCAUGCAGAUGGCUGCUGUACUUCCAGGCAUAAUGUCAGUGUUCCAGGAAAGAAGCAAUGGCAAAGGGACAAAAGGGGACCUGCCAGUUGAGUUUGUCCCUUUUUACCCAAGAAAGCGAAAACUUUCCUGGAAGCCACAUCCAGCAAACUUCCCCUCAUAUCUCAUUGGGUCAGGUAGCCAACCUUAGGAGAAUGAGAGUACUAUGUGUGCUCUAGGCAAACUGCAAUUCACUCCUUAUGGCCAGAAGAAGGGAUCUUCUCUCUGUAAAGUCAAAGAACUUCUACUGGUAGUUGACCACAUCGAGGUUUUAUUAGCGGAGCAGAAGGGCCAUGCUGCAGGAAGAAUGUUAGGUUGGUGAUGGACAAUUUCUAUCAUUGAUUGCUUUUUGUGAUUUUGUUACACACCCCCCUCCAAGAGUUUAGCAAAUGUAUACAAUAAACGUGUACUUGCUGUAA